rnacentral:rRNA from 1 species
AGAGUUUGAUCAUGGCUCAGAUUGAACGCUGGCGGCAGGCCUAACACAUGCAAGUCGAGCGGAUGAGAGGAGCUUGCUCCUUGAUUCAGCGGCGGACGGGUGAGUAAUGCCUAGGAAUCUGCCUAUUAGUGGGGGACAACGUUUCGAAAGGAACGCUAAUACCGCAUACGUCCUACGGGAGAAAGCAGGGGACCUUCGGGCCUUGCGCUAAUAGAUGAGCCUAGGUCGGAUUAGCUAGUUGGUGAGGUAAUGGCUCACCAAGGCGACGAUCCGUAACUGGUCUGAGAGGAUGAUCAGUCACACUGGAACUGAGACACGGUCCAGACUCCUACGGGAGGCGGCAGUGGGGAAUAUUGGACAAUGGGCGAAAGCCUGAUCCAGCCAUGCCGCGUGUGUGAAGAAGGUCUUCGGAUUGUAAAGCACUUUAAGUUGGGAGGAAGGGUUGUAGAUUAAUACUCUGCAAUUUUGACGUUACCGACAGAAUAAGCACCGGCUAACUCUGUGCCAGCAGCCGCGGUAAUACAGAGGGUGCAAGCGUUAAUCGGAAUUACUGGGCGUAAAGCGCGCGUAGGUGGUUCGUUAAGUUGGAUGUGAAAUCCCCGGGCUCAACCUGGGAACUGCAUUCAAAACUGUCGAGCUAGAGUAUGGUAGAGGGUGGUGGAAUUUCCUGUGUAGCGGUGAAAUGCGUAGAUAUAGGAAGGAACACCAGUGGCGAAGGCGACCACCUGGACUGAUACUGACACUGAGGUGCGAAAGCGUGGGGAGCGAACAGGAUUAGAUACCCUGGUAGUCCACGCCGUAAACGAUGUCGACUAGCCGUUGGGAGCCUUGAGCUCUUAGUGGCGCAGCUAACGCAUUAAGUCGACCGCCUGGGGAGUACGGCCGCAAGGUUAAAACUCAAAUGAAUUGACGGGGGCCCGCACAAGCGGUGGAGCAUGUGGUUUAAUUCGAAGCAACGCGAAGAACCUUACCUGGCCUUGACAUGCUGAGAACUUUCCAGAGAUGGAUUGGUGCCUUCGGGAACUCAGACACAGGUGCUGCAUGGCUGUCGUCAGCUCGUGUCGUGAGAUGUUGGGUUAAGUCCCGUAACGAGCGCAACCCUUGUCCUUAGUUACCAGCACGUUAUGGUGGGCACUCUAAGGAGACUGCCGGUGACAAACCGGAGGAAGGUGGGGAUGACGUCAAGUCAUCAUGGCCCUUACGGCCAGGGCUACACACGUGCUACAAUGGUCGGUACAAAGGGUUGCCAAGCCGCGAGGUGGAGCUAAUCCCAUAAAACCGAUCGUAGUCCGGAUCGCAGUCUGCAACUCGACUGCGUGAAGUCGGAAUCGCUAGUAAUCGUGAAUCAGAAUGUCACGGUGAAUACGUUCCCGGGCCUUGUACACACCGCCCGUCACACCAUGGGAGUGGGUUGCACCAGAAGUAGCUAGUCUAACCUUCGGGAGGACGGUUACCACGGUGUGAUUCAUGACUGGGGUGAAGUCGUAACAAGGUA